rnacentral:lncRNA from 1 species
CUGCAAAGAAUCCCUCCAGACAGGGUCAGAACCUGGACAGUGGAUAGCUUGGGUCUCCUAAUAAGGGUGUUUCUUUUUCUUUUUUCUGAGAUAGGGUCUUGCUCUAUCACCCAGGCUGGAGUGCAGUGGUGCCAUCACAGCUCACUACAGCCUCGACCUGCUGGGCUCAAGUGAUCCUCCUACCUCAGCCUCUUGAGUAGUUGGGAGUAGCUGGGAGUAGCUGGGACCACAGGUGUGCACCAACACAUCUGGCUAAUUUUUUAAAAAUUUUUUUCUAGAGAUGGUGUUUUGCCAUGUUUCCCAGGCUGGUCUUGAACUCGUGGCCUCAAGUGAUCCUCCUGCCUCUGCCUCCCAAAGUGCUGGGAUUAUGGGCAUGAGCCACUGCACCCAGCCACAUGGAUAUUCUUGGUAGAUUAUAAAGUCGACCCUGAAUCCAGCAAAAUGUUAUAAAAGCCUGCCAGCCUUAAGAUGUGAUGAAACUCUUAAUAGUGAGGGCUUCAAUUUCUUAAAACAUAAAAUAGCAGCAUCCCAAUUAUGUCAUUUAGACAUGUUAAAUUGUAAUUUCCAGUUUUAAGAGGACUACCGUUUUGCCUACGACUAUAAAAAUGAUGUCUUACUGGUGCAGAAGCAUGUUUUGUUUUGUUGAGAUGGCGUCUUGCUGUGUUGCCCAGGCUAGAGUGCAGUGGCACAAUCAGAGCUCACUGCAGCCUCCAACUACUAGGCUCACGGGGUCAUCUUGCAGCAGCCUCCUGAGUACUGGGACUAUGGGCAUGCGCCACCACGCUGGGCUAAUUUUUAAUUUUGUAGAGACAGGGUCUCUUUAUCUUGCUCAUGCUGAUCUCUGACUCCUGGCCUCAAGCGAUCCUCCCACCUUGGCCUUCCAAAGUGCUGGGAUUAGAGGCAUGAGUCACUGCACCCGGCCAUGAUUUGUUUUUUUUGUUUAUUUUCUCUGUAUGGAGGACCCACCACCUCAAUUUGGCUUUAAAUGUGACUAUCCAAGGACUGUGUCUUGCUUGUCUUUGUCCAUGCCACAGCAGCAGUAUAAAUAACAGAUGUGUGUCUGGAGACAACACUUUAUUAUCUGUUUGUGAUGAUAAAUCCUCCUGUAUGCCCCGAGCCAUGCCUUCUGAACUCACCUGGUUUCUUGUGGAUAGAAUUCACAUCUUAGAAUUUGUCCACAUCUUGGAAUUUGUACCCAGCACAGAGUUAGGAGGCCUUGCUCAACAUACCCAUGAUGAGAGGAAUGAAGACACGGUGGAAAUUGUCCCAGCAUGCUAGUUAGUCUGAGGGCUCCCAACAAGUGUCUGGGUAACUGAUAAGGUUGGGAGAAUGCUCAGGGCAGACAACAGCUACUGAGAAGCCUGGAGGGAUCUGCAUUUUGACUUCGGUGCCCACUGCUCUUACUCAUGGCAGUCAAGCAAGGGUCCUAGGAUGGAGAACUGGAGUCAACAGGAAAAUUGUAGCCAGGCUUUCAAAUAGC